rnacentral:rRNA from 1 species
AACGAACGCUGGCGGCAUGCCUAACACAUGCAAGUCGAACGAGACCUUCGGGUCUAGUGGCGCACGGGUGCGUAACGCGUGGGAAUCUGCCCUUGGGUUCGGAAUAACAGUUGGAAACGACUGCUAAUACCGGAUGAUGACGUAAGUCCAAAGAUUUAUCGCCCAGGGAUGAGCCCGCGUAGGAUUAGCUAGUUGGUGGGGUAAAGGCCUACCAAGGCGACGAUCCUUAGCUGGUCUGAGAGGAUGAUCAGCCACACUGGGACUGAGACACGGCCCAGACUCCUACGGGAGGCAGCAGUGGGGAAUAUUGGACAAUGGGCGAAAGCCUGAUCCAGCAAUGCCGCGUGAGUGAUGAAGGCCUUAGGGUUGUAAUGCUCUUUUACCCGGGAUGAUAAUGACAGUACCGGGAGAAUAAGCCCCGGCUAACUCCGUG